rnacentral:rRNA from 1 species
GACGUAGGGGGCGAGCGUUGUUCGGAUUUACUGGGCGUAAAGCGCGCGUAGGCGGCUAGAUAAGUCGGGUGUGAAAUCCCUCGGCUUAACCGAGGACCCGCAUCCGAUACUGUUUGGCUCGAGUCUAGGAGAGGAAAGCGGAAUUCCCAGUGUAGCGGUGAAAUGCGUAGAUAUUGGGAGGAACACCCGUGGCGAAGGCGGCUCUCUGGACUAGUACUGACGCUGAGGCGCGAAAGCUAGGGGAGCGAACGGG